GACAAUAAAGGAAGUAAUCAUCUAAUAACAGCUACCAUCCAUGACACGUCUGCCAAUGCCAGCUCUUCAACCUGAAUGAUUUCAAUAGAUAGUACUGCUCCUAUGGGACAGAUGAAGGGAGUGGAGAGUGAAGAAUGUGUUCCCCAGAAAAGCAUCUUAAGAGAGUCUGAAGCUUGGAUGUGAGCAGCCCAAAUCAGGCCUGAUGCUGUGCACCUGCUCAGCUUUGCACCAGGGAAAGCUGCUGGCUUAUCACCACCUCAGGCUUUCUCCCAUUCCACAUCUUCCAGAAAUCCCCGGCUCCAAAAACUCAGUUUUCAAUUCAUGUGGCAGGUAGAAGAGCCAGACUACAAGUACAGUAAAAAUAUCAUGAGGAUUUUCACUGGCAAAAUGCAAAUAUAAAAAAGUAACAACAUGCCCUUCAUCCACUAAUUUUAUAAUUCUUCUGAGACAAGCGAUAAAGUUUUUUUU
rnacentral:lncRNA from 1 species